CCUAGAUUAGUGGCGCACGGGUGCGUAACGCGUAUGCAACCUACCUUUUAUUGGGGGAUAGCCCGAAGAAAUUCGGAUUAAUACCGCAUAACACUGUUUGAGGGCAUCUGAAGACAGUGAAAGCUCCGGCGAUAAAAGAUGGGCAUGCGUGUCAUUAGCUAGUUGGUGAGGUAACGGCUCACCAAGGCAACGAUGACUAGGGGUUCUGAGAGGAUGAUCCCCCACACUGGUACUGAGAUACGGACCAGACUCCUACGGGAGGCAGCAGUAGGGAAUAUUGGGCAAUGGCCGACAGGCUGACCCAGCCAUGCCGCGUGCCGGAUGAAGGCCUUCUGGGUUGUAAACGGCUUUUACCAGGGAAGAAAAUACCUUUGCGAAGGGAACUGACGGUACCUGGUGAAUAAGCACCGGCUAACUCCGUGCCAGCAGCCGCGGUAAUACGGAGGGUGCAAGCGUUGUCCGGAUUUAUUGGGUUUAAAGGGUGCGUAGGCGGCGUAGUAAGUCCGUGGUGAAAGCCAACAGCUCAACUGUUGAACUGCCAUGGAUACUGCUAGGCUGGAGUACAGACGAGGUAGGCGGAAUGGAUAGUGUAGCGGUGAAAUGCAUAGAUACUAUCCAGAACACCGAUUGCGAAGGCAGCUUACUAGACUGUAACUGACGCUGAGGCACGAAAGCGUGGGGAGCGAACAGGAUUAGAUACCCUGGUAGUCCACGCCGUAAACGAUGAUAACUCGAUGUUGGCGAUACACGGCCAGCGUCUUAGCGAAAGCGUUAAGUUAUCCACCUGGGGAGUACGCCCGCAAGGGUGAAACUCAAAGGAAUUGACGGGGGCCCGCACAAGCGGUGGAAGCAUGUGGUUUAAUUCGAUGAUACGCGAGGAACCUUACCUAGGCUAGAAUGCGCGUGACCGCCUCAGAGAUGAAGGCUUCCCUUCGGGGCACAAAGCAAGGUGCUGCAUGGCUGUCGUCAGCUCGUGCCGUGAGGUGUUGGGUUAAGUCCCGCAACGAGCGCAACCCCUAUCUUUAGUUGCCAGCGAGUCAUGUCGGGGACUCUAGAGAGACUGCCUGCGCAAGCAGUGAGGAAGGUGGGGACGACGUCAAGUCAUCAUGGCCCUUACGCCUAGGGCUACACACGUGCUACAAUGGGCGGUACAGAGGGUCGCUACUUAGUAAUAAGAUGCCAAUCUCAAAAAACCGUUCUCAGUUCGGAUUGAGGUCUGCAACUCGACCUCAUGAAGCUGGAAUCGCUAGUAAUCGCGUAUCAGCAAUGACGCGGUGAAUACGUUCCCGGGCCUUGUACACACCGCCCGUCAAGCCAUGGAAGUCAGGGAGACCUGAAGAC
rnacentral:rRNA from 1 species